rnacentral:misc_RNA from 1 species
UUUCCGUAGGUGAACCUGCGGAAGGAUCAUUAUGAGUUGUCAUGGGGUUCGAUGCUGGCAGCCAAUUUUUGGAUGCAUGUGCUUGCCCUAACAAUCAUCUUCCAAACACCUGUGCACAUUUUUGAGGGAGUCUUGAGUUGGUUGCCGCUCUUGGGUGAUUUUCUCACAUUCCCUUAAAUCAUUAUACGCUAUUAACAAUGUUGAACGUGCUCUGUGCCGCAAGGCUAUUAAUAUAAUACAACUUUUAACAACGGAUCUCUUGGCUCUC